rnacentral:rRNA from 10 species
GUGAACCUGCGGAGGGAUCAUU